GGUGCCCCCACUGCUGACCCGCAGCCCCCUGCUAGCCCAGCCCAGCCUUGCCCUGCCCUCCCCAGCUCUGCCCGGUGCGUCAGAUGAGUGCAGAGCGACAGGCAGAUGGCCAGAAGGGGGGCUGAGGGUCUGUGCUGCUCCUGGUUUUACAGGACCCGC
rnacentral:lncRNA from 1 species